UUUAUGGAGAGUUUGAUCCUGGCUCAGGAUGAACGCUGGCGGCGUGCCUAAUACAUGCAAGUCGAGCGAACGGACGAGAAGCUUGCUUCUCUGAUGUUAGCGGCGGACGGGUGAGUAACACGUGGAUAACCUACCUAUAAGACUGGGAUAACUUCGGGAAACCGGAGCUAAUACCGGAUAAUAUUUUGAACCGCAUGGUUCAAAAGUGAAAGACGGUCUUGCUGUCACUUAUAGAUGGAUCCGCGCUGCAUUAGCUAGUUGGUAAGGUAACGGCUUACCAAGGCAACGAUGCAUAGCCGACCUGAGAGGGUGAUCGGCCACACUGGAACUGAGACACGGUCCAGACUCCUACGGGAGGCAGCAGUAGGGAAUCUUCCGCAAUGGGCGAAAGCCUGACGGAGCAACGCCGCGUGAGUGAUGAAGGUCUUCGGAUCGUAAAACUCUGUUAUUAGGGAAGAACAUAUGUGUAAGUAACUGUGCACAUCUUGACGGUACCUAAUCAGAAAGCCACGGCUAACUACGUGCCAGCAGCCGCGGUAAUACGUAGGUGG
rnacentral:rRNA from 1 species